AUAAAAAAGGAAGCCUGGCUUGUAACCAGGUUCCAAGUGUUUUGUCAUGAUAGACUGCUUCCUGUGUGUUGGUUUUGAUGUCUGGAAUACAGGCUCCGGUGACCAUGUCAGAUCUGGGUCUGAAAGGCAGUGCUUAGCCUGAAUUUGGCCAUGAUGAGGCACUCGGGAGGAGAGCACCUGCUGAUGGCAGAACGGAAUGAGGAGAUGUUUCCUCAAUGGAUGGAUGAAUGAAGGAGUGUUUGCUAACUAAGGGCCGAAGAAAGAGCUGCAGGUGUGCUGAGGUCUGCAGUGUGAGCCUUAGCUUUCUCAUGUGUAAAGUGGGGAGAAGACUGACUUGACAGAUUCCUGUUGGGAUGAGGACAGCAGGCGGCUUUAUAGCACUCAGCCCUGGUGUGUGGCUUACAGCAGGUGCUUGUGAAGUCACUAGUCAAGACAUGGCUACAUUUUGGGGUUCACCUUCUUCACAGCCCCAGCUGAUCGUCCUCAGUCUGCACAUCUGAGCAUGUCACACCUCUGCUCAGUGCCCUUCAGUGACUUCCCAUUGCCUGCAGGUUGAGUCCAAGCUCCACUUCCUGGCACCUGGGUUGAAGCCCCGGACCUCUCAGCCUUUCACUGGGAGCUCAGUGAAUUCAUGCGGACGCCUUCUGUUUCUGUCUCCUCAACUCCCGCCGCCCAAGUUGAACUUCUUUUGUCUGAUCCAUGCCUUUGUUCAUGCCAGUCCCUCUCCUGGAGGUGCCCUCCUUCUCCACUGGGCUGAUUCCUUCUCAUUUAAGACUCAUCUCAGAUGUAAACCCCUCCAGGGAGCCUGCGCCGUGAUCCCGAGUUCACCUGCAGCACUGCUCAUGCUGCGGUGGGCAGCUGGUCUGUUCUCCAUUGUCUCCUCCUUCCACACGUGGGUUCCCGAACGGAAGGCUGUGUGAUUGGCAUGCUUGGUGCCUAGCACAUGGCAGAAGCCCCGUGAAUACCCAUUUCACCUGAGAAGAUUAAGACUCUUAGGAGAAGAUACUUGGGACUGAAAAUGAGAGGGUACUGGCAUUUACUGACCCUUGUGAUCCACUGAGUGGAGACGCGAGAAGCGGAGGUCCUCAGCCUUGGAAGGCCCUCUGAGCCCAGUCUGGGGCUCUAGGAAUGACUUCAGUCUUGUAGAGACUCCAGGACAACCUGCCGUUGGCUGCUGCUCCUGCUCUGAGACGUUUCCUCUACCCCCGGUACCCUGUGGCUGAAGAGGUUUGGAGCUCUGGCUCCUCCAACACCCUGCUCUACUCCAGUGCUUUGUAGGAAAGGGGGAGUUUUGCCUCAGUCUCUAUGGAACUGAAUCCUGCCAGAAACCACGUGAGCUUGGAAGUGAGCUGUGCCCAGCUGAGCCUUCUGAUGAGACCCCAGCCCUGGCCUGCACCUUGACUGCAGCCCUGUGAGAGGCCCUGAAGCAGAGGACCCUGAUUUGAUUGAAGCGAGGAGCAUCGGAAAGAGCCUGAAACUUGGAGUCAGGCAGAACUGGGUUCCAAUGCCACAGUUAUGUCCUUAUUUGCCAUGGGAACUUCAGCAAGACACUUAACCUGCUCGAGUCCCCAGUUUCCUCCUCUGUAAGAGAGAAAUGGCAAUGCCCUUUCCCAGGGCUCCCGCGGAGAUUGGAGAGGGCCCAGCCCGGACCAGAGUGUCAUCCCAUCAAUAGACCAGCCUGUGUUAUGGCCCCAGCCAGUCGGAGGCAACUGAGGAAAUGAGAACAGCCAGCUUGGAUAAACGGAUCCUGACUUUUGAAAUUAGACAAAUGGAAAAUAAGUUAUUUUUAUUGUAGUGUACAUGUAAUUUUUAUGUUUUGUAGCUUAAUAUCGAUUUGUAUUUUGAAUUACACUUGGGACUGUUGGAGACAUUAUCAUCUUCUGGGAGUUUAGGGCUUUUAAACUCCCUGGCACGGGCCUUGCAGGCACUCGGCAAACAUUAGUACCCUACCCCUCUGGUUAAAUCACCAACUUUCAGUUUUUAUUGUAUUUUUUAUUGUUAUGUUUUUUUUUGCCUUAGAAGUGUUCUCCAAAUAAAAUCCUAAUG